UUAAUUAUAGUUUAUCUUAAAAUAUUAAAUUGCAAGUUUAAAGAAAUGGGCAAAAUUAAUUAAUU
rnacentral:tRNA from 1 species